AGGCCACCUUGUGGACACUUCACCUGGAAACUGGAGUUUACAUUCAACAACACUUCCAGAUUUCGGCCACUGGGGGCAGUGAUUCAAAUUUAGAAGGAAGAAAGUCAUGUACACAUGGAACAACAUGAGGUAAUAUUGACUGACCCCUGGAGAAGUGUUGUUGCUCAUAACAACAUGGAGAGGAAGUGAAAUGGCUUCAACAGUUCUGCUGAAAUAGCAUGUUGUCAC